UACGUAGGGUGCAAGCGUUUAAUCGGAAUUACUGGGCGUAAAGCGUGCGCAGGCGGUUGUGCAAGACAGAUGUGAAAUCCCCGGGCUCAACCUGGGAAUUGCAUUUGUGACUGCACGGCUAGAGUGUGUCAGAGGGGGGGGUAGAAUUCCACGUGUAGCAGUGAAAUGCGUAGAGAUGUGGAGGAAUACCGAUGGCGAAGGCAGCCCCCCUGGGAUAACACUGACGCUCAUGCCACGAAAAGCGUGGGGGAGCAAACAGG
rnacentral:rRNA from 1 species